rnacentral:snoRNA from 1 species
CUGAGCCAAUUAAGCUGUGCGCUUUCUCCCUGGGGACCCGGUGUGCAAUGGCUGCAAAUAGCAGCCAUCUUUGCAGUGUCCAUUAGACAGCCCAAACAAACCUUGGAGACCGUC